rnacentral:misc_RNA from 1 species
AAGUCGUAACAAGGUUUCCGUAGGUGAACCUGCGGAAGGAUCAUUAACACGUAUCCAACGUAUCCACCCCUGUGGUCCCGUGCGCGUCUAUACAAUGGAGCGGUAGAAACUACUCUGUAACCUGCGUGGUUGCAAAGAAAAUGCAAAUUGAGUCAAUCGUGUUGAUCUGCGUGACCAACAUCGAAAGCUAAUUCAACCUGCGCGGUUGGGCCCAUUGACUCAUUGCGUUCGGUAAUACCAGCGUUCCGUGAGAAUGCAGCUUCACGUAGCAGACGUUUUAAUCAAACCUUUACCAAAUUGACUAAUGUACUAGAUUUAAGUAUGAUUCGCUCUGCUUUAUUUCGAAAUACGAAACGUAACAACUCUUAACAACGGAUAUCUUGGUUCUC